AGAACGAACGCUGGCGGCAGGCUUAACACAUGCAAGUCGAACGCGUGUAGCAAUACACGAGUGGCGCACGGGUGAGUAACGCGUGGAUAUCUGCCUUUUGGUUCGGAAUAACCCCGGGAAACUGGGGCUAAUACCGGAUGGUUCCUACGGGAUAAAGAUUUAUCGCCAAAAGAUGAGUCCGCGUCCGAUUAGCUAGUUGGUGGGGUAAUGGCCUACCAAGGCGACGAUCGGUAGCUGGUCUGAGAGGACGAUCAGCCACACUGGGACUGAGACACGGCCCAGACUCCUACGGGAGGCAGCAGUGGGGAAUAUUGGACAAUGGGGGCAACCCUGAUCCAGCCAUGCCGCGUGAGUGAUGAAGGCCUUCGGGUUGUAAAGCUCUUUUGGCGGGGACGAUGAUGACGGUACCGCAGAAUAACGCCCGGCUAACUUCGUGCCAGCAGCCGC
rnacentral:rRNA from 1 species